rnacentral:tRNA from 1 species
GGUGGCUCAGUGGUAGAGUGCUUGCCUGCAAUGCAUGAGGCCCUGGGUUCGAUUCCUCAGCACCA